GAUCAUGGCUCAGGACGAACGCUGGCGGCGUGCCUAACACAUGCAAGUCGAACGGAACUUCUUUAAAGGAUUUCUUCGGAAUGAAUUUGAUUAAGUUUAGUGGCGGACGGGUGAGUAACGCGUGAGUAACCUGCCUCUAAGAGGGGAAUAACAUUCUGAAAAGAAUGCUAAUACUGCAUAACAUAUAUUUAUCGCAUGGUAGAUAUAUCAAAGAUUUAUCGCUUAGAGAUGGACUCGCG
rnacentral:rRNA from 1 species